rnacentral:rRNA from 1 species
UAGUCCACACCGUAAACGAUGAAUGCCAGUCGUCGGGUAGUAUACUAUUCGGUGACACACCUAACGGAUUAAGCAUUCCGCCUGGGGAGUACGGUCGCAAGAUUAAAACUCAAAGGAAUUGACGGGGGCCCGCACAAGCGGUGGAGUAUGUGGUUUAAUUCGAAGCAACGCGCAGAACCUUACCUACCCUUAACAUUUCACGCUCGCCUCAGAGAUGAGGUUUUCUCUUCGGAGACGUGAGGAUAGGUGCUGCAUGGCUGUCGUCAGCUCGUGUCGUAAGAUGUCUGGUUAAGUCCAAUAACGAGCGCAACCCUUAUCCUUAGUUACCAGCAUUGAGUUGGGGACUCUAGGGAGACUGCCGGUGUUAAACCGGAGGAAGGCGGGGAUGACGUCAAGUCCUCAUGGCCCUUACGGGUAGGGCUACACACGUACUACAAUGGCCGUGACAAAGAGUUGCUACUUUGUGAAAACAAGCUAAUCUCAUAAACGCGGCCUCAGUUCGGAUUGCAGGCUGAAACUCG